rnacentral:lncRNA from 1 species
UUAAACUUCUUAUUCUACUUAAUAUGAGGCUCAAAACAAGUAAGUACCCAAAGCAAGGUCUGUAUAGCAGAAAAAAAGAAAUAAAUAGUUAAUGAUAUUAUCGUCAAGCAUCCUAGCUACUAGAUAAAGAUUUAGGCAACAAGACCAUAAAAGAAAAAAAAUGAAAAAGAAAAGAAACUCAUGGGACCCUCAGCGCAAUGAGUUGUGUAAUCUGAUAGUACCCCUCUUGCGGAUAGUCUAUAUUGCACUCCAACCAGCUAGAAUGCAUAUCAGUUGUCGCUUCCAUGACAGCAAUAUAGAUGCUGAUAAGAACCGGAAAAUCAUAUUUGCAUGUGAAGCAUAACAGAGAGAUUUUGAGGUGGAAUUGAGGUCCCUUUUUGAGAGCAAAAUUGAAUGGCUUAUAAAGAAGGAUAGAAAAUAUGACCUGCCGCCUCUCUCAUUCACUCAUGAAUGACAUUGCUGAGUGAAGAUUUGAUCCUCUAUAUCAUCAUUAACCAGCUCUAGCUCUGACGAUUCCCACUUGGAUUUGUUGUCUUUAUCCAUCAACUUUGCUCAACAAAAGAGUCAGCUAGAUUUGAACGAGAAAUUAUUAGAUGAUCCUGAACCAUCAUAAUCCUUAUUAAUCUUUACAUGAUAUCAAUUCCCACUUGAGUUUGUUGUCUUUAUCUGUCAACUUUGCUCAACAAAAGAUCCGGUUAGAUUUGAAUGAGAAAUUAUUAAAUGAUCCUGAAUCAUCAUGAUUCCUAUUAAUCUUUAUAUGAUAUAUGACCAUUGAUAUAAUGAUUCCAGAGCUAGAGUGUCUUUGAGUGUUUCGAUGAUUGAUACAAUUUUUAAAACAUUAAAUAUAAACAUUGGUUGAGACUAUAAAUAGAUGGUGGUCUAAGACUACCUGAUAAUUUCUCAAAUUGAACAGCAUAAUCCAGCCACUAUUGGUUAAUGCUUUAUGGUGCAAGUGUGCAACCUCCAACAAUUAGUAGCAGACAUGAUAAUUAACAAACUGGAAAGAAGGAUGUCAGAGCCUCAGGAACAUAUUUUGCAGUUAGAUACUAUGCAGUGAGAGCAAUGAGCAAACAACCGUGUACUCAGCAACAUGUUGACCAAAUAAAAAUAAGCCCUAAGCCUACCUGAACAAAUCACUACAGAAACCUACUACUAGGCCAUGACCAAAACACC